CUUUGGACUUGCAGACGAGGAGACUACACACACACUGUCCUCAUUCACUCAUACUCCCUGCUUCAGCUUUUUUUAUUUUCUGAAUUUUCUGAUCCUAUCCUUUGUCCCCUAUAUAGCACUCCAUGCACCCUCUCACACCCACUCGCACACCAAGCUCACUCUCUCUUCAUAAAGUACCACUCCAGAUGUGCUAGGAGUUGAGUUUGAUGAGACACACAAUGAUGGUUCUGAGUAUGAGUGUUCUCCUAAGUAUGAGUGUAAGUGUUUUCCUGUGUCUGGCAGGGGCCAUAGAUCUCCCUAUGUCUAAAGUCCUGGAUGGGCACACAGCUGGAAAACAUGGGAAAAGACUUUCAGUUCCCAAACACAACAGAACCCUCACACUGGCCAGCACCGGGCACCAGCACACUGGCAUCCCUAGCAUAGCCCGGCUCUCUGCCAUGGACCAAGAACUGAACAUUUCAACCAAAAGAAUCGAGAAGAAGAAGAGACCUCGCCCUGGAGAGAAAAUAAG